GCUUCCCGUCGGUGUUGUAACGUGUAGUUUAAGGUCACGCACCAGCUAACGCAGCUAGCUCACACUUUAAUUCAUACUCCGACUGAUUUAACGAACAGCUGGUGAAACGGCGGCGGACAGAUCCUCCCUCUGCAUCAGCCCAACGCCUGAACGCGUCAGACGACUUCUCGGCCAAUCAGAGCGAAGAAGAAGAAGAAAGAGGCCCCGAGGCUGCAGUCUGUACGACCGGAGCCCGAAAACUCAACAGAAAGGGGACAAAGUGGAGCGUCGUGGUGUGUUUAAGGUCAAUCCGUAGCUUCAGCUUUAAGCUCAUGACACAUUCAGGGUUCUACGUCGCCUUCAGUGUCUGUCGGUCAUCGUAAAUCUCAGACUGACAUGAGAGGAUCAGAGUUUGCUGACUGCAGCUUCUAGUGGACUUUAGAGGAGCCGCAGCUGAAGAUAGUCCAGUCCCGGCGUCAACAUGUCCUCCUAGCUUCCCCGCUGACCCGGUGUCUGAUUUUUAAGACGAGUCGCUGGUCUGGUGAGGUUGAGUUUGUCCGAUGGCGAGGCACAGUAAGCUGCAGAAGCAGGUCCUGGCUCUGUACCGGCAGUUCCUGCGGGCCGGCCAAGACAAGCCGGGAUUCAUCCCACGAAUCCGCGACGAGUUCAGGGAGAACGCUCGCAUCAAGAAGACGGACGUGAUGCACAUCGAGUAUCUGUACCGGCGAGGACAGAGGCAGCUGGAGCAGCUGAGGGACGCCAACACCAAACAGCUGGGCUCCUUCUCCAAACCCAGAGAGGAGAGCUGACCUCCGACCUGCACCAUGUGACCCUCAACCGAGGAGGUGGCCGCUGCCGACAGGUCGCGCUGUGACGCUGCGUUCAAGUCCAGUGGGGGAAACAGACGCUCAGUCGUGGAGAAAACGCAAUGUGAUAAACAUGGUUUGAAUGUCAGCCGAAUAUGAAAACGAAUAAACCUCCUUUGACAUCACAGGAUCAUAAACUCAGUGACAAGAUGUGGAAAAUAUUUAAUAUUGCAGUAUUUAUCAAAGUAAAAUAGAGCCGUUCAGAGCCGGCCCUGACCUCCGUGGGGCCCUAAACAAACCUCCUACAUGACUUGUGCACAUUUACACUUUACACUUGACACCGCAGCGCUCUCACUAAAAUCCGCUGUCUCUGCAACACACCUGAAUAGAGUAAGAAAAAUGAAAUCUGCUGGGUCUCUGGUUGGAGCAGCCGCUGUUCCUUUAGGGUCUGAGCUGCUUGUAUCUGAUGAUCCCAGCUAAUUAUUUUAUUUAUUAAGUAAUCUGCCGAAUUUGUUCACGAUUAAUCGACUCAUCGUUUGGUGUAAAAUUUCAAGCAAUUGUGAAAAACACAAUGUGUGAGAAGAUAAUCAGCGCGUGCUUAAUGAGAACAUUUGUAUAUUGGAAGAAAAAAAAAUAAUAAAAGAUUUUAAAGUUUCAUUGUGAGUGAAGUUAUUCGGUGUCUCGCCUCUAAUGUAACUACAUGUUUUGGCCGCUGGGUGGCAGCAGAGAGUCUCCUUGAAGACACCAACGAAGAAGAAGCAGAAGAAGAAGGGAUGUAAACAGGAAGUGGGACAUUUUACAUUCCCUAACGAGACACAAGAAUUUCGUUUUUCCCGUAUAUUUCUCUGAAAAUAGCGACUUUAGCUUCGGUUUUUGGCUGUAAAUGAACUUCUGAGGGAUUUUAUUUGGUCGUAACCUGCAGCUGUUUGUGUUUUUUUUGACGUUUAUUCGUCAGAAAUGUCGGUUUCAGGAGAAAUGAGCAACGCGCAGCUGCUUCAGCAGAUGGCGCUGCUGCGCUGGCUGAACUCGCAGUCUGAGGAGGACCGCGGGAUUUUGACGGCAGUGACGGGCGUCCAGGUCGGCCUAGAGCUGCUGAACCGGAUCACCGGCCAGGACAAAGUGGACGCCUACAAGAGAGACUGCAUCCUGAGCAUCUCACAGUUCGUCCGUGAGAACCCGCGAGCCUCGACGGCCGCGAUCAACGCCGAGGUGGAGAAGAGAGUUCUGCUUUUCGCUGCUCGAGUCAAAACUCUGGAAGCGGCUCCGAUUCUCUGAACACACCGCUGCUCAGUCUUUUAUAUCUUCACAGAUGAUUCUACGUUUUUAAAAAGACUUUCUGUCACGUGACGUGUGUGUGAUUAUUUAGUGUGUGUUGUUAAGUUUGUCGUCUGUUUUCUGUGUGUUGAUCUGAACCUCCGUGACUCUUCACAAUAAAAGCUUCUAUAAACUCUCGUUCUGCACAAA